GGGNANNGUNNNNUGCAGUCGACGAUUCCUACGGGAGGCAGCAGUGGGGAAUAUUGCGCAAUGGGCGAAAGCCUGACGCAGCGACGCCGCGUGGGGGAGGAAGGCCUCAGGGUUGUAAACCCCUGUCAGGUGGGACGAAUCCCGUAAUGGCAAAUAGGCGUUACGAUUGACGGUACCACCAGAGGAAGCUCCGGCUAACUCCGUGCCAGCAGCCGCGGUAAUACGGGGGGAGCGAGCGUUGUUCGGAAUUACUGGGCGUAAAGGGCGCGUAGGCGGCUUGGUAAGUCGCGUGUGAAAGGCCGGGGCUCAACCCCGAGCACUGCACGCGAUACUGCCUGGCUCGAGAGAGGUAGGGGCGAGUGGAAUUCCCGGUGUAGCGGUGGAAUGCGUAGAUAUCGGGAAGAACACCUGUGGCGAAGGCGGCUCGCUGGACCUUUUCUGACGCUGAAGCGCGAAAGCGUGGGGAGCAAACAGGAUUAGAUACCCUGGUAGUCCACGCCGUAAACGAUGGGUACUAGGUGUUGGGAGGAUUGACCCUUUCAGUGCCGGCGCUAACGCAUUAAGUACCCCGCCUGGGGAGUACGGCCGCAAGGCUGAAACUCAAAGGAAUUGACGG
rnacentral:rRNA from 1 species